rnacentral:rRNA from 1 species
UACGUAGGGGGCCAGCGUUGCUCGGAAUUAUUGGGCGUAAAGGGCGCGUAGGCGGUCAGGUAAGUCUGAUGUGAAAUCCCACGGCUUAACCGUGGAAUUGCAUCUUAUACUGCUUGGCUAGAGUCUGGGAGAGGGAAGCGGAAUUCCCGGCGUAGCGGUGAAAUGCGUAGAUAUCGGGAGGAACACCAGUGGCGAAGGCGGCUUCCUGGACCAGUACUGACGCUGAGGCGCGAAAGCGUGGGGAGCAAACAGG